UACGUAGGGUGCGAGCGUUGUCCGGAAUUAUUGGGCGUAAAGGGGCUCGUAGGCGGUUUGUCGCGUCGGGAGUGAAAUCCACUGGCUUAACUGGUGGCUUGCUUUCGAUACGGGCAGACUGGAGGUAUGCAGGGGAGAACGGAAUUCCUGGUGUAGCGGUGAAAUGCGCAGAUAUCAGGAGGAACACCGGUGGCGAAGGCGGGUCUCUGGGCCGAUACUGACGCUGAGGAGCGAAAGCGUGGGGAGCGAACAGG
rnacentral:rRNA from 1 species